AUUGAACGCUGGCGGCAUGCCUUACACAUGCAAGUCGAACGGUAACGGGCCUUCGGGUGCCGACGAGUGGCGAACGGGUGAGUAAUGUAUCGGAACGUACCUUUCAGUGGGGGAUAACGUAGCGAAAGUUACGCUAAUACCGCAUAUUCUGUGAGCAGGAAAGCAGGGGAUCGCAAGACCUUGCGCUGAUUGAGCGGCCGAUAUCAGAUUAGCUAGUUGGUGAGGUAAAGGCUCACCAAGGCGACGAUCUGUAGCGGGUCUGAGAGGAUGAUCCGCCACACUGGGACUGAGACACGGCCCAGACUCCUACGGGAGGCAGCAGUGGGGAAUUUUGGACAAUGGGCGAAAGCCUGAUCCAGCCAUGCCGCGUGCAGGAAGAAGGCCUUCGGUUGUAACUAGCUUAGUCUUAGGAAAAGGGGUAGGACGGAGGUUAAGUACCUACGUGCUUUGAUGGUACUGGAAGAAUAAGACACCGGCUAACUACGUAGCCAGCAGCCGAC
rnacentral:rRNA from 1 species